UACAGAGGGUGCGAGCGUUGUCCGGAAUCACUGGGCGUAAAGGGCGCGUAGGCGGUCUGGUAAGCGUGUGGUGAAAGCUCGGGGCUCAACCCCGAGUCGGCCGUGCGAACUGCUGGACUGGAGCAUGUCAGAGGCAGGCGGAAUUCCGGGUGGAGCGGUGAAAUGCAUAGAGAUCCGGAAGAACACCGACGGCGAAGGCAGCGUCCUGGCCGAGCACUGACGCUCAGGCACGAAAGCGCGGGGAGCAAACAGG
rnacentral:rRNA from 1 species